CCUACGGGAGGCAGCAGUGGGGAAUAUUGCACAAUGGGCGAAACCCUGAUGCAGCGACGCCGCGUGAGCGAAGAAGUAUUUCGGUAUGUAAAGCUCUAUCAGCAGGGAAGAAAAUGACGGUACCUGUGUAAGAAGCUCCGGCUAAAUACGGGCCAGCAGCCGCGGUAAUACGUAUGGAGCAAGCGUUAUCCGGAUUUACUGGGCGUAAAGGGAGCGUAGGCGGCCGGCCAAGUCUGUUGUGAAAUACCGGGGCUCAAACGCGGGGCUGCAUUGGAAACUGGCAGGCUGGAGUGCCGGAGAGGCAGGCGGAAUUCGUGGUGUAGCGGUGAAAU
rnacentral:rRNA from 1 species